rnacentral:lncRNA from 1 species
CCUGACUAUUUUUAGAACACCUACUUAAAGUUGAAUGGGGAGAUCUGUCCAUUUUUAGAGCUAAUCACCAAAAGUAUAAACAUCCCACUUAUUCAUUAAGUGGGAGGUCUGUGACCCACAUGUGCAAUAGUGGGUGAUGAAUAAGAAUCGACUGACUCCUGGGCAGUACUAAGCAAGGCUUUAAACUAUGAUUUGUCCACAUAAAAAGUGGAGGAAGACACAGGAAGUGAUGUGAGAUAAAGUGUCUUUAAAAGGGAAUGACAACUUCCUGAAGGAGUUCUAUUGGGACUUCAUUCUUUGGAGUGGAGGUUGAAGGAGAAAUCUGCUGACUGGACCUGAGACCCUAUUCCUGAUGAUAUUGUUGGACUGACACAUGAAACACUGAAGACUGCAUUACUCAAUAACUUACAAGCUGAAACUCUUUCCAGGCUUGCUUUCACAAGAAAAUGGAUAUUUUUCAAGCUGAACUCCUUAUGGCAUGGACUUGAGGGCCAUUAUCAUUCUCUUUGCUCUUCUAUGGAUGCUCUCCAGUUUGCCUUUAAAUGAGACUGCUGCCACACUCUCUGAUACUGCUAAAAGGAACUUCAGAAAUGGAAAACCUUUCUGGACAUCUUUGAAAAACUUCCACAGAACAUGGUGCAGCCCAGACUCAUGGUUGGUUAGGAGGACAAAGUCAGUGUGUAACCCUUGUGUCAGGAGUUUUCACAUGAUCUGGAGGAUUCUCAUGCAGACAUUUGCAGGGGAUUUGAGCCAAGAUGGCAGCUUAGGAGCAGUGAAAGCUGAAACUACUCUGACAAUCCCUCCAAAACAAUGUUUAAAAAACAACUUAAAAUGACAAAAGUCAAAAACCAGCAGCAAGAUGGAGUGAAUGAACACAACUUGAAAGAAAGGAGUUUACAAAAUGAAAGAAGAAGAUGGAAGCCCAAGAUUUCAUUUGGAACACCAAGGACCUGGGACUGGGCAGAAAGAGACAGGAAUUGAAACAGCAGUUAACAGUUGGUGCUGGACUCCACAGGAGGCAGAAGCUGUAUCCUGCUUUCUGCUCUCAAGAUACUGAGAGGGUAACUGGUUUUGGUCUUCCUUGGGUGGACCAAGAAAAAGCCAUUCAGUUCCCUCUCUGUGGCUAUCUUGAGGUACCUGCCUGCUUCUUGCUGUUCACACUACAAAGAGAAACUGGAUUUUUUUCUGGAGAUGCUGACAUCUUUCUUUCUCUGGAUCAAAGGAGGACUCUUGUUAUGAGAAUUCCCUAAGGUCCUGGAUUGACUUUCCCUUACCAAAUCCCUCUUCAUUUUAACUAACCUUUUAAUAGUAAAAUUAAGUUAGAUUAUAAAUCUUAGUAAAUUAAUAUCUGGGUGGGUAAUAGUAUGUUGGUUCCUCAUCCCCUGUCAUUCCCUUGUCUUUUGUUAAUAAAACUGUUUUAUACAAUUGUGUGAUCCCUUCC